rnacentral:rRNA from 1 species
GUGGGGAAUAUUGGACAAUGGGCGAAAGCCUGAUCCAGCCAUGCCGCGUGUGUGAAGAAGGUCUUCGGAUUGUAAGGCACUUUAAGUUGGGAGGAAGGGCAGUAAGAUAAUACCUUGCUGUUUUGACGUUACCGACAGAAUAAGCACCGGCUAACUACGUGCCAGCAGCCGCGGUAAUACGUAGGGUGCAAGCGUUAAUCGGAAUUACUGGGCGUAAAGCGUGCGCAGGCGGUUUUGUAAGACAGGCGUGAAAUCCCCGGGCUCAACCUGGGAAUUUCCUCCAAAACUGCAUGACUAGAGUACGGUAGAGGGUAGUGGAAUUUCCUGUGUAGCGGUGAAAUGCGUAGAUAUAGGAAGGAACACCAGUGGCGAAGGCGACUACCUGGACUGAUACUGACACUGAGGUGCGAAAGCGUGGGGAGCAAACAGGAUUAGAAACCCCUGUAGUCC